rnacentral:rRNA from 4 species
GAAUAUGGGGGGACCAUCCUCCAAGGCUAAAUACUCCUGACUGACCGAUAGUGAACCAGUACCGUGAGGGAAAGGCGAAAAGAACCCCGGCGAGGGGAGUGAAAAAGAACCUGAAACCGUGUACGUACAAGCAGUGGGAGCCCCACCACCAAAGCAUUCUCUGGUGUUGAAGGCCCUGCAAAGCAGCAUCGCGGUGGCGGAGCGUCGUUUGCGACGCCCAACACACAAAACAAGCGGUGAAUGCUUUGGGGUGGGGUGACUGCGUACCUUUUGUAUAAUGGGUCAGCGACUUAUAUUCUGUAGCAAGGUUAACCGAAUAGGGGAGCCGGAGGGAAACCGAGUCUUAAUUGGGCGUUAAGUUGCAGGGUAUAGACCCGAAACCCGGUGAUCUAGCCAUG